CAGGUAUGUUGGUCGACGAAGUUGAAAUGGAAUUCAUCAGUUUAGAACAAAGUUUGAAGGAAUUAGAAGAACAAGCAGACAACUCAACGGAAAUUUGCUCAAAAGUCAAAAUGAUUGAAGACAAACUACAUAAGAUCAAAAUAAGUUAGAAACUUCAAAGCACAAUACUUGGAUUAAUUUUUACAAAGAGAUACCACCCUCAAUCAUGAAAUUACAGUAUCGAAGGCUGAGUGACGGUAAACAAAGCAAAGUCAGGAAAGAAUUUACGAAAUUUGGUAAGUAGUCUUGCCUUCGUCUAGUUAAUCCGCUCUAUUUAUUUCUAGAAUUAUUAUUCUUUUUUAAUCUAUCUGUAUUAAUUU
rnacentral:lncRNA from 1 species